rnacentral:rRNA from 1 species
UCAAGCUAGAAAGAGCGCAAGGGGAAUGCCUUGGCAUCAGGAGCCGACGAAGGACGUGACAAGCUGCGAUAAGCUGCGGUGAGCUGCACAUAAGCUUUGACCCGCAGAUUUCCGAAUGGGGAAACCCGGCAGAGCAAUACUCUGUCAGCGUGCGUUGAAUCAAAUAGGCGUACGCGGGGAACCGCCUGAACUGAAACAUCUAAGUAGGGCGAGGAAGAGAAAUCAACCGAGAUUCCGCUAGUAGUGGCGAGCGAACGCGGAAGAGGCCAAACCGGAGGUAGCAAUAUUUCCGGGGUUAGGACUGCAAUAUGUAACUUUAAUCUUUAACUGAAUGCUUUGGGAAGAGCAGCGAUACAGGGUGAUAGCCCCGUAAGUGAAAAGGAUUGAGUGCUAGCAGUAUCCAGAGUACCAGCGGACACGUGAAACCCGCUGGGAAGAUGGGGGGACCAUCCUCCAAGCCUAAAUACUACUCAGUGACCGAUAGUGGAGCAGUACCGUGAGGGAAAGGUGAAAAGUACCCCGGGAGGGGAGUGAAAAAGAACCUGAAACCUUGUGCCUACAAGCACCGAGAGCACGUUAAAGUGUGAUCGGGUACUUUUUGUAGAACGGUCCGGCGAGUUAAUAUUUGCAGCGAGGUUAAGGAACUGGAGUUCCGGAGCCGCAGCGAGAGCGAGUCUGAAAAGGGCGUAUGAAGUUGCAGGUAUUAGACCCGAAACCGGGUGACCUAUCCAUGAGCAGGCUGAAGCGGUGGUAAGACACCGUGGAGGGCCGCACCCACGUCUGUUGAAAAAGCCGGGGAUGACUUGUGGAUAGCGGAGAAAUUCCAAUCGAACUCGGAGAUAGCUGGUUCUCCCCGAAAUAGCUUUAGGGCUAGCGUUAUUUUAGAUUACCGGAGGUAAAGCACUGAAUGGUCUAGGGGCCGCGAGGUUACCAAAGCCUAUCAAACUCUGAAUGCCGGAUAAUUGAUGAAUAGCAGUCAGACUGUGUGAGAUAAGUCUCAUAGUCAAAAGGGAAACAGCCCAGAUCUACAGCUAAGGUCCCAAAUGAACACUAAGUGGAAAAUGAUGUGAAACUGCGAAGACAACCAGGAUGUUGGCUUAGAAGCAGCCACUCAUUCAAAGAGUGCGUAAUAGCUCACUGGUCGAGUGGUUUUGCGCAGAAAAUGUAACGGGGCUAAGUGUUCAACCGAAGCUUAGGCAUUGCAGUAAUGCAUUGGGUAGGGGAGCGUCGUAUGCGGGGCGAAGUCAGAGCGGAAGCACUGGUGGACUGCAUACGAGUGAGAAUGCCGGAAUAAGUAGCGAGAAUUAUGUGAGAAUCAUAAUGGCCGAAAAUCUAAGGUUUCUUGGGGAAGGUUCGUCCGCCCAAGGUUAGUCGGGAGCUAAGCUCAGGCCGAAAGGCGUAGGCGAUGCACAUACGGUAGAAAUUCCGUAACCACCGAACAUUUAAGCUAGAGGGACGCUUUCUUUAAGGUUAUCCCGGGCGAUGGUUGCCCCGGGCGUAAGGGACCGAAAUAUAGUAGGGAAGUAACUGGCGAGAGAGACGAGAAAAGCUCUAGUGUAUACUAAGGUGCCCGUACCGCAAACCGACACAGGUAGAUGGGAUGAGUAUUCUAAGGCCAACGGGAGAAGGGUUGUUAAGGAACUCGGCAAAUUGGCCCCGUAACUUCGGGAUAAGGGGCGCCUGCGAGAGCAGGCCGCAGUGAAAAGGCCCAAGCGACUGUUUAGCAAAAACACAGCUCUCUGCUAAAUCGAAAGAUGACGUAUAGGGGGUGACGCCUGCCCGGUGCUGGAAGGUUAAGGGGAGUGCUUAGCAGCAAUGCGAAGGUGCGAACUUAAGCCCCAGUAAACGGCGGCCGUAACUAUAACGGUCCUAAGGUAGCGAAAUUCCUUGUCAGGUAAGUUCUGACCCGCACGAAUGG